CGCGCAGGCGGUUGUUUAAGUCGAAUGUGAAAGCCCCCGACUCAACUGGGGAGGGUCAUUCGAUACUGAUCGACUUGAAGGCAGGAGAGGGAAGUGGAAUUCCGGGUGUAGUGGUGAAAUGCGUAGAUAUCCGGAGGAACACCAGUGGCGAAGGCGACUUCCUGGCCUGUUCUUGACGCUGAGGCGCGAAAGCUGGGGGAGCAAACG
rnacentral:rRNA from 1 species